rnacentral:lncRNA from 1 species
AAAUAAAUCUACAUGCAAAUUCACAAAGAGCCCUUUCAUUCUUGGGGCAUACAAAAACGCAGAAUUAGGCCUGAAGUUCUGGGUCCCUUCUACCUUCCAUCGGCUGAAUGAGCUACAGGAAUUCACUUAAUAGGCCUUUGGAAGGAUCCUUCGUGGCAAACCCGACCGUGACUGCCACUGGGCCAGCCUUAGCGGGACCCCUCUGUCUUCCCGACUGCUCCCGUGCCCCAGCUUGUCUGAAUUACGUGAUGAUCUGAGGCCAGUACAGAGGUCUCCCUCCUUUGGAACUAGUCUCUUGGGUUGAGUCCAAUAAGCACAUCAUCUUCCCCAGCUCUACAGACUGUCUCCAGUUUUGAGACCUUUCAGACUUUUCCAUUUUGUGAUUUCUUAGCUUUGUGUGUUAGGGAAGUUUGGACUUCUUCAUUUGUAUUGUCGCCUUAAUUAACAUGGCUGGGACCAGAAUCCAAUAGACCACAUUAGUCAACACUAGACAAGGAGGAAGAGUCGGAGGUGCAUGAUCUCAGCUCUGA